rnacentral:tRNA from 1 species
ACCUGGCUGGCUCAGUUGGAGGAGCACGUGACUCUUGAUCUCACGGUCAUGAGUUUGAGCCCCAUGUUGGGUG